rnacentral:rRNA from 1 species
AUUGAACGCUGGCGGCAGGCCUAACACAUGCAAGUCGAGCGGAUGAAGGGAGCUUGCUCCUGGAUUCAGCGGCGGACGGGUGAGUAAUGCCUGGGAAUCUGCCUGGUAGUGGGGGAUAACGUCCGGAAACGGGCGCUAAUACCGCAUACGUCCUGAGGGAGAAAGUGGGGGAUCUUCGGACCUCACGCUAUCAGAUGAGCCUAGGUCGGAUUAGCUAGUUGGUGGGGUAAAGGCCUACCAAGGCGACGAUCCGUAACUGGUCUGAGAGGAUGAUCAGUCACACUGGAACUGAGACACGGUCCAGACGCCUACGGGAGGCAGCAGUGGGGAAUAUGGGACAAGGGGCGAAAGCCUGAUCCAGCCAGGCGGCGGGUGGGAAGAAGGUCUUCGGAUUGUAAAGCACUUUAAGUUGGGAGGAAGGGCAGUAAGUUAAUACCUUGCUGUUUUGACGUUACCAACAGAAUAAGCACCGGCUAACUUCGU